rnacentral:misc_RNA from 1 species
UUUAUAUAUGGGCUUAUCUCUAUCUUUGUGUGCUUGUGUGCAUCUCUAUGUGCAUGUAUCUGCAAUUUGUGGGCAUGCCUUUUCUUGGAAAACCUGAAUAUUAUCAUGUUUUCAUGUUAUGUAUGCAAACGUAUUUGCAAAGCUAGAUACUCUUAGUCCAAUAACAAAUUAGUCACUGAAUCAAACAUUUAUUCUGUAAUAACUGAUUUAGUAUAGAACUUUGACAAUGAAUUUGCAAUUUUGAUGACCUUUAUAGGUUUUCAGUUGUAGAUGUAUCUUCUGGAGUUGGGUUUUGAAUCAUGCAUUCAACUUGUCAUUACAUUUGUUUAUCUGUUGAAAUUGCUUAGAAGGAAGUAUUUAUUGGUGAAGG